UUCACAGUAGUUUGCAGGUUUUG
rnacentral:siRNA from 1 species